rnacentral:rRNA from 1 species
AUUGAACGCUGGCGGCAGGCCUAACACAUGCAAGUCGAACGAGUGGCGGACGGGUGAGUAAUGUCUGGGAACCUGCCUGAUGGAGGGGGAUAACUACUGAAAACGGUAGCUAAUACCGCAUACCCUCGGAUGUGCCCAGAUGGGAUUAGCUAGUAGGUGGGGUAAAGGCUUACCUAGGCGACGAUCCCUAGCUGGUCUGAGAGGAUGACCAGCCACACUGGAACGGAGACACGGUCCAGACUCCUCCGGUAGGCAGGAGUGGGGAAUAUUGCACAAUGGGCGCAAGCCUGAUGCAGCCAGGCCGCGUGUAUGAAGAAGGCCUUCGGGUUGUAAAGUACUUUCAGCGGGGAGGCGUUACCCGCAGAAGAAGCACCGGCUAACUCCGUGCCAGCAGCCGCGGUAAUUC